rnacentral:rRNA from 1 species
GAUGAACGCUAGCGGCAGGCUUAAUACAUGCAAGUCGAGGGGCAGCAGUUUUGUAGCAAUACAGAAGCUGGCGACCGGCAAACGGGUGCGGAACACGUACGCAACCUUCCUUUAACUGGAAGAUAGCCCACCGAAAGGUGGAUUAAUACUCCAUAACAUAUUGAAGAGGCAUCUCUUUGAUAUUAAAGCUCCGGCGGUUAAAGAUGGGCGUGCGUCUGAUUAGGUAGUUGGCGGGGUAACGGCCCACCAAGCCUUCGAUCAGUAGCUGAUGUGAGAGAAUACUCAGCCAAACGGGCACUGGGACCAGGGCCCGACUCCUACGGGAGGCAGCAGUAAGGAAUAUUGGUCAAUGGACGCAAGGCUGAACCAGCCAUGCCGCGUGGAGGAUGAAGGCCCUCUGGGUUGUAAACUUCUUUUCUUUGGGACGAAACCCCUGUUUCUACGGGGACUGACGGUACCAGAGGAAUAAGCACCGGCUAACUCCGUGCCAGCCGCCGCCGUAACAC